UACGAAGGGGGCUAGCGUUGUUCGGAUUUACUGGGCGUAAAGCGCACGUAGGCGGAUUGUUAAGUCAGAGGUGAAAUCCUGGAGCUCAACUCCAGAACUGCCUUUGAUACUGGCAAUCUAGAGUCCGAAAGAGGUAAGUGGAACUCCUAGUGUAGAGGUGGAAUUCGUAGAUAUUAGGAAGAACACCAGUGGCGAAGGCGGCUUACUGGUCCGGUACUGACGCUGAGGUGCGAAAGCGUGGGGAGCAAACAGG
rnacentral:rRNA from 1 species